GGAGAGAUGGCCGAGCGGUUUAAGGCGCACGCUUGGAAAGCGUGUUAAGGGGCAACUCUUUCGUGGGUUCGAAUCCCACUCUCUCCGCCA
rnacentral:tRNA from 3 species